CCAAAACAAGGGCCAUGAAUGCUGAGGGAUAGUGGGGUCCCUCCAUGGGGAGCGCGGUGGCUUUCGUAGAAGAUGGAAAAAUGAAUAGGCAGUCAACAGAUAAGCACAAAGGAGAAGGUUUUUAUGAUUUAAAGCCUCUUUGCUUCCCCUCACGCAGCAUUUCAGAUUGCAGACUGCAAGCCUUUCUCUCUUCAAUCAAGAUCCAUCCCCAUCCUCAGGUUAAUACUUACUAGGGUUUUGGCUUUCUCUGCGUCGACCAUCCAUCUAUUAUCCACGUUUCAUCUGACGGUGAAUAAAACCCGAACGACGAUUCUUCGUCGAACCGAUCGAAUGCUUGGACGCUGCAGAGAAUUAGGGAUCGAUAUAUAUUGGGAAGCAAACCAAGCUGGUGGGAGAUGGAAAGUGCUGUAAUCACAACAAAGGUAUUGGCGCGCCUCAAUUUGAAGACGUGGUUAAGAGAUGAAAAGUAACCAUGUAGUUUAAUUGAGCCGCGUCAAUAUCUCAGUUUUGCACUUCUCUCCAUUUCCUUGUGCAGUAACACCAAUAAUCCUGGUUGAUGAUUUGAUGAUAAUCCCACCCUGCUCCUGAUAUUUCGUCUUCACUCACAGCAACAUCAACGUCAGCUGCCCCACUCUGUCUCACUUGAAUGCUUUCUUGCUUUCCCACUCACACCCCCUCCUUUAAUUAAUUAUUUUGUUUCCCUAAUUCUGAUUGAUUCAUGUGCACUUCUUUAAACCACUACUAUAUAUUAUAUACUAACAUAUAUUUCAUCUAA